rnacentral:misc_RNA from 1 species
GAUGAAGAAGCAGCGAAAUGCGAUAAGUAAUGUGAAUUGCAGAAUUCAGUGAAUCAUCGAAUCUUUGAACGCACAUUGCGCCCGCCAGUAUUCUGGCGGGCAUGCCUGUUCGAGCGUCAUUUCAACCAUCAAGCCCCCGGCUUGUGUUGGGGACCCUGCGGCUGCCCGCAGGCCCUGAAAACCAGUGGCGGGCUCGCUGUCACUCCGAGCGUAGUAGCAUAUAUCUCGCUCAGGGCGUGCUGCGGGUUCCGGCCGUUAAAAGCCUUUUUUUUUUACCCAAGGUUGACCUCGGAUCAGGUAGGAAGACCCGCUGAACUUAAGCAUAUCAAUAAGCGGAGGA